rnacentral:rRNA from 1 species
GACGAACGCUGGCGGCGUGCCUAAUACAUGCAAGUAGAACGCUGAAGAGAGGAGCUUGCUCUUCUUGGAUGAGUUGCGAACGGGUGAGUAACGCGUAGGUAACCUGCCUGGUAGCGGGGGAUAACUAUGGGAAACGAUAGCUAAUACCGCAUAAAAUUGAUUAUUGCAUGAUAAUUAAUUGAAAGAUGCAACUGCAUCACUACCAGAUGGACCUGCGUUGUAUUAGCUAGUUGGUGAGGUAACGGCUCAUCAAGGCGACGACACAUAGUCAAACGGAGAGGGUGGUCGGCCGCCCUGGGACUGAGACACGGCCCAGACGGCUACGGGGGGCAGCCGUAGGGAAACUUCGGCCAUGGGGGGGACCCUGACCGAGAUACGCCGCGUGAGUGAAGAAGGUUUUCGGGUCGUAAAGCUCUGUUUUAAGGGAAGAACGGGUGUGAGAGUGGAAAGUUCACAGUGUGACGGUAUCUUACCAGAAAGGGACGGCUAACUACGUG